CCUGCCCAAGAGAUCGGGAUAACACCUGGAAACAGAUACUAAUACCGGAUAACAACAGAUGAUGCCUAUCAACUGUUUAAAAGAUGGUUCUGCUAUCACUCUUGGAUGGACCUGCGGUGCAUUAGCUAGUUGGUAGGGUAACGGCCUACCAAGGCGAUGAUGCAUAGCCGAGUUGAGAGACUGAUCGGCCACAUUGGGACUGAGACACGGCCCAAACUCCUACGGGAGGCAGCAGCC
rnacentral:rRNA from 1 species